GACGAACGCUGGCGGCGUGCUUAACACAUGCAAGUCGAACGGAAAGGCCCUGCUUUUGUGGGGUGCUCGAGUGGCGAACGGGUGAGUAACACGUGAGUAACCUGCCCUUGACUUUGGGAUAACUUCAGGAAACUGGGGCUAAUACCGGAUAGGAGCUCCUGCUGCAUGUUGGGGGUUGGAAAGUUUCGGCGGUUGGGGAUGGACUCGCGGCUUAUCAGCUUGUUGGUGGGGUAGUGGCUUACCAAGGCUUUGACGGGUAGCCGGCCUGAGAGGGUGACCGGCCACAUUGGGACUGAGAGACGGCCCAGACUCCUACGGGAGGCAGCAGUGGGGAAUAUUGCACAAUGGGCGGAAGCCUGAUGCAGCAACGCCGCGUGCGGGAUGACGGCCUUCGGGUUGUAAACCGCUUUCGCCUGUGACGAAGCGUGAGUGACGGUAAUGGGUAAAGAAGCACCGGCUAACUACGUG
rnacentral:rRNA from 1 species